AUGAAGACGUCAACUACGACAUUAAUAAUGACUGGCCAGACUUGUGGACUGCCAAACAAAAAGAAGAUUUUAAAUGCAAGAACCCCUGGUUGGGAUCCAAAAACAAAAAAAUGGGAUGUCUGGUCUGUAGCAGUGUGAACUCCAUUGGGAUCAACAAGGAGCAAGGUGUAUCACUCUCAAGAGAAUGGAUGAACUUUGAAAUUCAAGUGUCUGGCCAGGGAAGUAGA